CCUACGGGGGGCAGCAGUGAGGAAUAUUGGUCAAUGGACGAGAGUCUGAACCAGCCAAGUAGCGUGAAGGAUGACUGCCCUAUGGGUUGUAAACUUCUUUUAUAUGGGAAUAAAAUGUUCCACGUGUGGGUUUUUGUAUGUACCAUAUGAAUAAGGAUCGGCUAACUCCGUGCCAGCAGCCGCGGUAAUACGGAGGAUCCGAGCGUUAUCCGGAUUUAUUGGGGUUAAAGGGAGCGUAGGUGGAUUGUUAAGUCAGUUGUGAAAGUUUGCGGCUCAACCGUAAAAUUGCAGUUGAAACUGGCAGUCUUGAGUACAGUAGAGGUGGGCGGAAUGCGUGGUGUAGCGGUGAAAUGCUUAGAUAUCACGAAGAACUCCGAUUGCGAAGGCAGCUCACUGGACUGCAACUGACACUGAGGCUCGAAAGUGUGGGUAUCAAACAGGAUUAGAUACACUUGUAGUC
rnacentral:rRNA from 1 species